GACGAACGCUGGCGGCGUGCUUAACACAUGCAAGUCGAGCGGUAAGGCCCUUUCGGGGGUACACGAGCGGCGAACGGGUGAGUAACACGUGGGUGACCUGCCCUCAGCUCUGGGAUAAGCCUGGGAAACCGGGUCUAAUACUGGAUAUGACUCCAUGACGCAUGUUGUGGGGCGGAAAGCCUUGUGCGGCUGAGGAUGGGCCCGCGGCCUAUCAGCUUGUUGGUGGGGGAUGGCCUACCAAGGCGACGACGGGUAGCCGGCCUGAGAGGGCGACCGGCCACACUGGGACUGAGACACGGCCCAGACUCCUACGGGAGGCAGCAGUGGGGAAUCUUGCGCAAUGGGCGAAAGCCUGACGCAGCGACGCCGCGUGAGGGAUGACGGCCUGGUGUAACGUAC
rnacentral:rRNA from 1 species